rnacentral:rRNA from 1 species
GGAAUAUUGCACAAUGGGGGAAACCCUGAUGCAGCGACGCCGCGUGAGUGAAGAAGUAUCUCGGUACGUAAAGCUCUAUCAGCAGGGAAGAAAAUGACGGUACCUGUCUACGAAGCCCCGGCUAACUACUUGCCAGCAGCCGCGGUAAUACGUAGGGGGGCAAGCGUUAUCCGGAUUUACUGGGUGUAAAGGGAGCGUAGACGGCAGCACAAGUCUGGAGUGAAAGCCCGGGGCUUAACCCCGGAACUGCUUUGGAAACUGUGCGGCUGGGGUGCAGGAGGGGUAAGCGGAAUUCCUAGUGUAGCGGUGAAAUGCGUAGAUAUUAGGAGGAACACCGGUGGCGAAGGCGGCUUACUGGACUGUAACUGACGUUGAGGCUCGAAAGCGUGGGGAGAAAAC